rnacentral:rRNA from 1 species
CUCGUCGCCCGCGUCGCUACAGACACGGCGGGGUGGAUAAGAACGCCAGCGUCGAUGCAUUGGAUACUGUCGAGAUCUUUUUCCCCUCCUCACUAGCUGUUCCAUCUUCUCCCUCCACGGACGCUGCUGCCGUCGUUGCCGCCAUGCCGCACGCGUAGCCACAGAGCAUCCCGCACCAAGCCAUCGCGUCCGCCGGCUCCGCCGUUGACUGCUUCGUCAUCCACUUCAAUCUGUUGGAGCCGGGAGCCCUUGCAUCAAGCCCUGUGACGUCGUCCUCUUCCUCGGCCCCAACGAACUUCGUCAUCGAUUCCGGCAACGUCGAGCCCUCCCCGAGCCCACCUUGCUCAUCUACAGGCUCACUGCCCCGAGACUGCGGCGACCCCCAGUUCGACUACGGUGUUGACGACCCUCCUUCUUGCCAGAGAAACCAGAUGCCGGAGCCCAGGAGCCAGACGCCACCGUUGACGACGACUCCUACUACACCGGAGGUGCCUACUACUACGUGCAGCCCGCUGACGACGACCAAGAGUAGUUAGGAGGAUCCCAGGCAGGAGGCCUGCGCCUCUUUCGAUCUGUAUCCCAGUUUGUGCUAGCCUUCUUAAGGCGAACUUGUUUAACUUAUGUCUGUUCUCAGAUAUUGCUGCUUCCGCUGACUCGUCUAUGAUCGAGCACUUGUAUUCGAGCCCUCGAGGCCCC